AAAUUGAAGAGUUUGAUCAUGGCUCAGAUUGAACGCUGGCGGCAGGCCUAACACAUGCAAGUCGAGCGGAAACGGCAGCAUUGAAGCUUCGGUGGAUUUGCUGGACGUCGAGCGGCGGACGGGUGAGUAACGGCUGGGAACCUGCCCUGACGAGGGGGAUAACCGUUGGAAACGACGGCUAAUACCGCAUAAUGUCUUAGUUCAUUACGAGCUGGGACCAAAGGUGGCCUCUACAUGUAAGCUAUCGCGUUGGGAUGGGCCCAGUUAGGAUUAGCUAGUUGGUAAGGUAAUGGCUUACCAAGGCAACGAUCCUUAGCUGGUUUGAGAGGAUGAUCAGCCACACUGGGACUGAGACACGGCCCAGACUCCUACGGGAGGCAGCAGUGGGGAAUAUUGCACAAUGGGGGAGACCCUGAUGCAGCCAUGCCGCGUGUGUGAAGAAGGCCUUCGGGUUGUAAAGCACUUUCAGCAGUGAGGAAGGUGGUGUACUUAAUACGUGCAUUGCUUGACGUUAGCUGCAGAAGAAGCACCGGCUAACUCCGUGCCAGCAGCCGCGGUAAUACGGAGGGUGCGAGCGUUAAUCGGAAUUACUGGGCGUAAAGCGCAUGCAGGCGGUUUGUUAAGUCAGAUGUGAAAGCCCGGGGCUCAACCUCGGAACCGCAUUUGAAACUGGCAGGCUAGAGUCUUGUAGAGGGGGGUAGAAUUUCAGGUGUAGCGGUGAAAUGCGUAGAGAUCUGAAGGAAUACCAGUGGCGAAGGCGGCCCCCUGGACAAAGACUGACGCUCAGAUGCGAAAGCGUGGGUAGCAAACAGGAUUAGAUACCCUGGUAGUCCACGCCGUAAACGCUGUCUACUUGGAGGUUGAGGUUUAAGACUUUGGCUUUCGGCGCUAACGCAUUAAGUAGACCGCCUGGGGAGUACGGCCGCAAGGUUAAAACUCAAAUGAAUUGACGGGGGCCCGCACAAGCGGUGGAGCAUGUGGUUUAAUUCGAUGCAACGCGAAGAACCUUACCUACUCUUGACAUCCAGAGAACUUUCCAGAGAUGGAUUGGUGCCUUCGGGAACUCUGAGACAGGUGCUGCAUGGCUGUCGUCAGCUCGUGUUGUGAAAUGUUGGGUUAAGUCCCGCAACGAGCGCAACCCUUAUCCUUGUUUGCCAGCACGUAAUGGUGGGAACUCCAGGGAGACUGCCGGUGAUAAACCGGAGGAAGGUGGGGACGACGUCAAGUCAUCAUGGCCCUUACGAGUAGGGCUACACACGUGCUACAAUGGCAGAUACAGAGGGCAGCGAAGCUGCGAAGUGGAGCGAAUCCCUUAAAGUCUGUCGUAGUCCGGAUUGGAGUCUGCAACUCGACUCCAUGAAGUCGGAAUCGCUAGUAAUCGUGGAUCAGAAUGCCACGGUGAAUACGUUCCCGGGCCUUGUACACACCGCCCGUCACACCAUGGGAGUGGGCUGCACCAGAAGUAGAUAGCUUAACCUUCGGGAGGGCGUUUACCACGGUGUGGUUCAUGACUGGGGUGAAGUCGUAACAAGGUAGCCCUAGGGGAACCUGGGGCUGGAUCACCUCCUUA
rnacentral:rRNA from 1 species